rnacentral:rRNA from 1 species
UGGGGAAUAUUGGACAAUGGGCGAAAGCCUGAUCCAGCCAUGCCGCGUGUGUGAAGAAGGUCUUCGGAUUGUAAAGCACUUUAAGUUGGGAGGAAGGGCAUUAACCUAAUACGUUAGUGUUUUGACGUUACCGACAGAAUAAGCACCGGCUAACUCUGUGCCAGCAGCCGCGGUAAUACAGAGGGUGCAAGCGUUAAUCGGAAUUACUGGGCGUAAAGCGCGCGUAGGUGGUUUGUUAAGUUGGAUGUGAAAUCCCCGGGCUCAACCUGGGAACUGCAUUCAAAACUGACAGACUAGAGUAUGGUAGAGGGUGGUGGAAUUUCCUGUGUAGCAGUGAAAUGCGUAGAUAUAGGAAGGAACACCAGUGGCGAAGGCGACCACCUGGACUAAUACUGACACUGAGGUGCGAAAGCGUGGGGAGCAAACA